UGAAGUAGUGAUGGGGACAUCAGAGCCCUUCAUCCAGAUGAUCCUGAGCCCCCGGAUUGAGUCAGACCUGUUUAUUUGCAUAUUUAUUUUAUUUUAUUUCUGGGUUUAUUUGCAUUUAGGGAUUUAUUUGUGGUUUAUUUUAUUUCUGGGUUUAUUUGCAUUUUAGGGCUUAUUUGUGGUUUAUUUGUGUUAUUUGUGGGCUUAUUAGGAGUUAUUGUUGUGUAAGGGGGUUUAUGCAAAUUGUGUAUUUGGGCCCUAUAUAAAAGGGACUAUUUUCAUGAUUAGGGUUAAUGAAGUGAUUUAGAAUUUUCUUCCCCUACGUCCUUUCUUCUCUUCUUCUCCUUUCCUCCUCUAUUCUUCCUGCGUCUCUACAACCUCUUCUUCCUUCUCCUUCUCUUGUUCUUCCUUCUUCUCCUCUUUCCCCACACUGGUGCUGCAUCAACUUGGUAUCAGAGCCACGUCGGCUUUGCCCCUGCUGCCAAAGCCACGGUCCAGUGUUUCCUCUCUUCCUUUCUCUCUCGGUUUUCACCAGCCCCCCUCCCCUCUAUCGGUUUUCACCAGAGACAAAAA
rnacentral:lncRNA from 1 species